AGAGAGAGACAUGCGCGCAUAUCAAUAAGCGGAGGAAAAGAAACUAACAAGGAUUCCCUUAGUAACGGCGAGUGAAGCGGGAAGAGCUCAAAUUUGAAAUCUUCAAGGUUUUACCUUGACGAAUUGUAGUUUAAAGAAGUGUUUUCUGCUGAAGUUUUGGUAAAAGUUCUUUGGAAUAGGACAUCAUAGAGGGUGAGAAUCCCGUAUUUGACCAUUAUUUUCAGCUUUGUGAUACGCUUUCAAAGAGUCGGAUUGUUUGGGAAUGCAGUCCAAAAUGGGUGGUAAAUUUCAUCUAAAGCUAAAUAUUGGCGAGAGACCGAUAGCGAACAAGUACCGUGAGGGAAAGAUGAAAGAACUUUGAAAAGAGAGUUAAACAGUACGUGAAAUUGUCAAAAGGGAAGCGUUUGACACCAGUGUUGUUUUCUCGAAAAUCAAUUAAAAAUGGCUCGAUUUUGUAUUGCUGAGACCUUAAAAGCUCACUGUACAUUUUUCGUGUCUUUUUUAAUGCACUUUUCGUUUAACAAGUCAACAUCAGUUUCUUUUGUUGUAAAAGGGUCAUUGGAAGGUGGCUUUCUUUUCGGAGAAAGUGUUUAUAGCCUUUGGCCUCUGCAAUCGGAAGAGACUGAGGUCUGCAGCGUAGACUCUUCGGGGUUAGAUACACUUGUGCUAAGUUAUAGCUUUUUAUAGACAACUUGUUGACUAUAAUUAGUCUUGUAGCUUACUCGCUUAUGCUAUUUUACCUACGCUUAGGAUGUUGAGUCGUAGAGCACGCAG
rnacentral:rRNA from 1 species